CCUGCGGAAGGAUCAUUACCUAGAGUUGUAGGCUUUGCCUGCUAUCUCUUACCCAUGUCUUUUGAGUACCUUACGUUUCCUCGGUGGGUUCGCCCACCGAUUGGACAAACUUAAACCCUUUGCAGUUGAAAUCAGCGUCUGAAAAAACUUAAUAGUUACAACUUUCAACAACGGAUCUCUUGGUUCUGGCAUCGAUGAAGAACGCAGCGAAAUGCGAUAAGUAGUGUGAAUUGCAGAAUUCAGUGAAUCAUCGAAUCUUUGAACGCACAUUGCGCCCCUUGGUAUUCCAUGGGGCAUGCCUGUUCGAGCGUCAUUUGUACCUUCAAGCUCUGCUUGGUGUUGGGUGUUUGUCUCCUGUAGACUCGCCUUAAAACAAUUGGCAGCCGGCGUAUUGAUUUCGGAGCGCAGUACAUCUCGCGCUUUGCACUCAUAACGACGACAUCCAAAAGUACAUUUUUACACUCUUGACCUCGGAUCAGGUAGGGAUACCCGCUGAACUUAAGCAUAU
rnacentral:rRNA from 1 species